CCUCCCCCUAUUUUCCCAUCACUYGUUCCUCCCCAAAAAAGUACAAUACAAACUUAAAAAAAACCMAAAAAAUUUCAAGYCUAUAAGAAAACGAUGUCAGAGGUUUGAGAUUUUUACUURGUGAGAUUCACUCACGCACCAGAUUUUCAACACCCCCGAUGAUUUCAGUGCACACGUAACGGCCAAACGCAUCCAGAAAAUCAA
rnacentral:misc_RNA from 1 species